rnacentral:rRNA from 1 species
AUGGGUGCUAAGUGUUGGAGGGUUUCCGCCCUUCAGUGCUGCAGCAAACGCAUUAAGCACUCCGCCUGGGGAGUACGACCGCAAGGUUGAAACUCGAAGGAAUUGACGGGGGCCCGCACAAGCGGUGGAGCAUGUGGUUUAAUUCGAAGCAACGCGAAGAACCUUACCAGGUCUUGACAUCCUUUGAACACUCUAGAGAUAGAGCUUUCCCUUCGGGGACAAAGUGACAGGUGGUGCAUGGUUGUCGUCAGCUCGUGUCGUGAGAUGUUGGGUUAAGUCCCGCAACGAGCGCAACCCUUAUUGUUAGUUGCCAUCAUUCAGUUGGGCACUCUAGCGAGACUGCCGGUGACAAACCGGAGGAAGGUGGGGAUGACGUCAAAUCAUCAUGCCCCUUAUGACCUGGGCUACACACGUGCUACAAUGGGAAGUACAACGAGUCGCUAGACCGCGAGGUCAUGCAAAUCUCUUAAAGCUUCUCUCAGUUCGGAUUGCAGGCUGCAACUCGCCUGCAUGAAGCCGGAAUCGCUAGUAAUCGCGGAUCAGCACGCCGCGGUGAAUACGUUCCCGGGCCUUGUACACACCGCCCGUCACACCACGAGAGUUUGUAACACCCGAAGUCGGUGAGGUAACCUUUUUGGAGCCAGCCGCCUAAGGUGGGAUAGAUGAUUGGGGUGAAGUCGUAACAAGGUAGCCGUAUCGGAAGGUGC